rnacentral:sRNA from 1 species
UUAAAUUGGAUUGCAUGAGAUGAAAAGGUUAAAAAACAAGAGACCGAUGCAUGUAGGAUGAGGUGGCCUAGGGGAAAUAGGAUGAAGUAGACAUAAAAGCACCAAAGUUUGGAGAAUCAGCCCGACGGGAGAAAGCUUCAAGCUGUCGGCCACUUUAGUCUUCCAUCCACCCAAGAGCUACACUUUAAGUUUCAAAUGCCCCCAUCUUUCACCCAUGCUGAGAAAGUUAUAGAACCCCAUUUACAUUUUAACGAGGCUCUCCAUUCCUUCGAUUUUCCUUACAAUCCGAGAGCCAAAGUUCUUGAGUGAGCCGUGAGUCUUCAAACAAACCAUAUAAUUCACUUAAGUUUGAAGAAAUAAGAGGAGAAACCCGGUUGAAAGAAUUUGAAAGAAAAAAAAUUGAAAGCUUCAGCCAAGGAAAGAAAACUCCUGUGUGAUUCAUCAAAGCCAAAGCGAGGCUGCCAAUCCAUUUUUGGAAGUGAUUGACGCCCCACAAAUGGAAGGUUGAUGCUGGAAACUUAAUGUGUAGAUUUGAAGAAAUAGCUUGAGGUUGUGUUUAAGUUGACCCUUAAGCAAAUUAUUUUAGAGAAAGAAGUUGUUGCCCGUGAGGUUUCUUGUGAACCUGUGCUGGUAGCCUGAGAAAGGUGAGGGUUUAUGAGUUUGUUGAAUGUAUGUAAUUAAAGAAUUGGCUGAGAGACUAAUUAAUUGUGCAGAAAUGAGAGGCUCUUGGCUGAAUGAAGUUGAAAAUGAGUUGGAAUAAUUGGAUUUAAGGUUGAGGGAUAAGAACGGUGAGUGAAAACAAGACUUAAGUUUGAACCUUUUUAUUGAAAUUAUAUACGGAGAAAUGAUGAUGAAAUUCAUUAAUGCUCUUGAACCAUUUUAUUGUUAGGAGGUUGACAUAGAAAUGAGAUAGCAAUUGGAACUUAUUAAAUGAGCUGUUUAAUUAAGCACUUGGUGCUAAAUACAAGUUGCUGGAAACUUUCUAAUUGAAACCUUUCAUUUAGUGUUAACAAAAUAUUGGUGAGAAGUCCCAUCAUUUGAGGUGAGUGGACAAUUUUAUUUUUUUAAAGUAUUAUUAAAUGGUGACUAUGAUAUAUUAAAUGUGCUAAAUAUGCCCAUUGUUUAGAUAUUAUUCAAUUACAUUGAGUUUCGAUGUUUAUAUUUGGAUUGCAAUUGGGUUGCAUGAGCUGUUAGUGACUAGGAAUGAUUAUUACGCUUGUUUUAUACGUGUUGUCUUUGUGGGCAUAUCAUAACUAUUAAGCUGUUUACAAAAUGGGAAACAAGCCCUUGAAAUAUGAUGAGUUUUUUUUUUUUAUACUCUGUUUUGAAGCAUUCAAAAUUCUAUGCGUUACACUCCCGUAUAAAGUCUCUAGAGUGGUCUUUAAUGAGUUUUUCUAAUCUACUUUGGUGGCAAUUUUCAUGAUGCUUAAGUGAAAUAUUUUAAUUAUGUCAUGUUAAUUGAUUUUCAUAUGUGAUCUUACUAUUUUAAUGUUCAUUGAUUUUAUGAUGAAUUUGGUUAGAUAUUGCUCACGAUUUUCAUGAUUUAAACAUGCAUACAUGCUUUCUGAGCUUAUCAUUGAAUUGACUGUACUCAUUUGAAAUUCCAUUGGAUUAUUUUGUUGGGUAAACCUUAUGGAUAUAGGUCUUGUUACCACGCAAGAUUUGUGUGGUCUCUAUGCACAAAGUGGUGAUUAUUGAUGAUUGAUAUUUAAUAAUAAAAAGAGCCCUAAAGUCCCGACUUAUAUUUGGUGGCGUGAGGAGUUCCCACGAGUAGAGAAAGGAAGACUUAAAAUCUCGACUUAUAUUUGAUGGUAUGGGGAGUUUUCACGAGUAAGUGUUGAUGUUAUUAAUAGAAAAAAAAGAGCUUACGAGUUAUAUUAGACCUACUUGAGGAUGCCCUAGUUGAUAUGUUUUUAUUAAUUGAGCAUGACAUUGCUAUUAUACUUGCUUUAAGAAAACUAUAGCUGUGAUUUAUUUGUUUACAUGACGUACCAAAAAUUACUAUCUUCGAAAUUGUCAUGGUUAAUCAUUUUGUCAUGAGCAUGAAAUUUACACAAUACCUUUGUGAUUUGAUUUUGAGUUUUAAACUUAAGCAUCUUAUAUUGAUUUGCACACGAUUUAUUAUCUCUAUACACAAUUUCUCUCAUCAUACGUAUUUAUUAUUGUUACGUUUUAUCAAAAGCUCUAACCUAAUGCUUGUUUCCUUUUCUGUCCAUUCAUUGAGUAUGAAAGGCUCACCUCAACAAAUUGAUAUGGCAGAUAAGUAAACUUUGAGAGUAGUCGUUGUCUAGAUGUCGAGUUAUUUACGAGUUUAAAGAAGUAAUGUAAAACUAUUUUAGACCAAAGCCCUUGGAUAUUGUUAACUAAAUUUGGAGCCGUAUUAUCCGAAAUGUGUGGUAUAAAUAAUUGAUAUUUUUUAUUAUGAAUUUGAUGUAUGGUGAAGAAUUAAAGUUGU